rnacentral:rRNA from 1 species
UACGAGGGGGGCGAGCGUUGUUCGGAAUUAUUGGGCGUAAAGGGUGCGUAGGCGGUUCCGCAAGUCCUGUGUGAAAUCUUCGGGCUCAACUCGAAGUCUGCACGGGAAACUGCGGGGCUUGAGUGUGGGAGAGGUGAGUGGAAUUCCCGGUGUAGCGGUGAAAUUCGUAGAUAUUCGGAAGAACACCAGUGGCGAAGGCGACUCGCUGGACAAGUAUUGACGCUGAGGUGCGAAAGCGUGGGGAGCAAACAGG